CUAAGUGUCCACCGGUCCCCCCCAGCCAUCGGGCCCGACUCUGUUCAAGUGGCACUACCCCAGCUGAGACACCCCCUCUCCCAGACCCCCUUGCAGCGACAGGGCCACAUGACCCCCUCUGGCCAAGGAAACAUAAACAGAUUCUGCAUUCUCAGGAAUGGCCUGUGGCUUCCGUGCCAGAGGUGCCCCCCAGCUCCUCUUCCCUCCCUCCCGCCUGGAGGAGAAGCUGCCCCUUUAGGAUCAGAGGGUGAUGAGCCCGUGGCAGACUGAGGAUGCAGAGCCGGGAGACGGAAGAGCAGGGCCCCCGAAUGCAAGUGAUUGAUCCACACUGGCUCCGCACUGCCUGCCUCUGGGCUGUUGGUGAUGUGAGCAAAACAAACCCAUCUUCAUUUAAGUCACCCUUAGUCGCGCUUCCUGUUACUUGCAACUGAAAAGAGUCCUAAAUGAUACAGAUGGUUUGUCAGAGUGGGGCUGAGGAAUGGGACAGGCAUUCGUGCAGGAGGAACGGCAGGAGCAAGUGGAGGAGAGCAGAGGCGCACAGAGACGGCGCGGCGGCCAGGGCUGCUGCUUCUCCACCGUCCAGCCAACUCCGGAUGACCAGUCGUGGCAGCCUGAGGGGAAGCCUUCCGGAAGAUUCCAGCGAAGGAUUCCAGAGUUCUAAGAAAACACCCGAGAAUGGGCAACCUGUCUUUCAGACAUUCUUCACAUCUGGAACUGCGGGCAGCCAGCUCGUUGUCAGGAGGGGACUUGGCCUGGGGACGAAGCUCAUGUCCCAGAGAUCCCAGAACAGAAAGCGGGAGAGACCCAGAUUCCUUAACGCUAUCCCUGAGCCUCCGUAUUACGCCCACUGCAGCUGCCUCAACUCCUGGAUCCUUUGCGUGGUGGUCAGAUUGAAUAAAGCAGACAGCUAACCAGGAAGGCCGUGACGCAGGCUGGAAUCGCUGAAACAGUGCCCUUCGGGCAGGAGGUAUGGAAAAAUAACUGACAUGAGACCAGACUUGCAAGCGCGGGGCACGAACAUGGCACCUACCACGUCCAGGCACUGUACACGGUGCCAAGAACACAAAGAUAAAUAAACCCUGGUUCAU
rnacentral:lncRNA from 1 species